GUUGUGGCUCAGUGGUAGAGCACUUGCCUUGCAGGUGUGAGGCCCUGGGUUCGAUUCUCAGCACAACA
rnacentral:tRNA from 1 species